rnacentral:rRNA from 1 species
GAUGAACGCUGGCGGCGUGCCUAAUACAUGCAAGUCGAGCGAACAGAUGAGGAGCUUGCUCCUCUGACGUUAGCGGCGGACGGGUGAGUAACACGUGGAUAACCUACCUAUAAGACUGGGAUAACUUCGGGAAACCGGAGCUAAUACCGGAUAAUAUAUUGAACCGCAUGGUUCAAUAGUGAAAGACGGUUUUGCUGUCACUUAUAGAUGGAUCCGCGCCGCAUUAGCUAGUUGGUAAGGUAACGGCUUACCAAGGCAACGAUGCGUAGCCGACCUGAGAGGGGGAGAGGCAACACGGAACAAGAGAAACGGUCAGGACUCAGACGGGAGAAGGCAGUAGGAAUUCUUACGAAAGGGACAAAAGCCGGAAGGAGAACAGCAGAGGGAGUGAGGAAGUUAUAAGGAUAAAAACACGUUUUUAUGGGAAAAAAAAAAAGGUGAAAGAAAAUAUGCACGUAGUGAGGGACCAAAAUAAGAAGACACGGGCAAAAUCGGUG